rnacentral:lncRNA from 1 species
GGCUAGGAUGAAAAAUUGUGUCCUGCAUUUUUUUUUUUGCUGUUAUCUCUAUCCUGCCUUUUUAUUUUUCACUCUGUUCGGUCCUGCCUUUUUUUUUUUAGUUUAUCCUGACUUUUUUUUUUUUGCAAGUGUCUCAUCCUGCCUUUUUUUUUACUCAAAACUCCUGUCCUGCCUAUUUUUUUCAAAUUUCAUCCUAGCCCCCCCUAAAAAUCAAAUGGUAGCUCCCUUAUUAUAAAU